rnacentral:rRNA from 1 species
AGACUUUGAAGAUGAGACGCUAGUUUUGUUGGAGUCGUCCUUGAAAUACCACCCUUGUAGUUUUGAUGUUCUAACGUUGGCCCCUGAAUCGGGGUUACGGACAGUGCCUGGUGGGUAGUUUGACUGGGGCGGUCUCCUCCCAAAGCGUAACGGAGGAGCACGAAGGUUGGCUAAGUACGGUCGGACAUCGUACGGUUAGUGUAAUGGUAGAAGCCAGCUUAACUGCGAGACAGACACGUCGAGCAGGUACGAAAGUAGGUCAUAGUGAUCCGGUGGUUCUGAAUGGAAGGGCCAUCGCUCAACGGAUAAAAGGUACUCAGGGCAUAACAGGCACAUACCGCC